AGAGUUUGAUCCUGGCUUAGGAUGAACGCUAGCUACAGGCUUAACACAUGCAAGUCGAGGGGCAGCAUUGAGAUAGCUUGCUAUUCAGAUGGCGACCGGCGCACGGGUGAGUAACGCGUAUCCAACCUUCCCCUUAGUAGGGCAUAGCCCGUAGAAAUGCGGAUUAAUACCCUAUGUUGUAUAUUGAGGACAUCUGAUUUAUAACCAAAGGUUUACCGCGUAAGGGAGUGGGGAUGCGUCUGAUUAGGUUGUUGGCGGGGUAACGGCCCACCAAGCCUACGAUCAGUAGGGGUUCUGAGAGGAACGGUCCCCACAUUGGAACUGAGACACGGUCCAAACUCCGUACGGGAGGCAGCAGUGAGGAAUAUUGGUCAAUGGACGAGAGUCUGAACCAGCCAAGUAAGCGUGCAGGAUGACCGGCCCUAGUGGGUUAGUAAACUGUCUUUUAGUACGGGGAUAAAGUGAGGGACGUGUCCCUUUUGUAGGUACCGUAUGAAUAAGGACCGGCUAAUUCCGUGCCAGCAGCGGC
rnacentral:rRNA from 1 species